rnacentral:rRNA from 1 species
GACGAACCGUGCGAACGUUAUUCGGAAUCACUGGGCUUAAAGCGCGUGUAGGCGGGCGGGUACGUCGGCGACUGAAAGCCCCCGGCUCAACCGGGGAAGGGGUGCCGAAACGGCCGGCCUGGAGGGGCGUGAGGGGGACCUGGGAACUUCCGGUGGAGCGGUGAAAUGCGUUGAGAUCGGAAGGAACGCCCGUGGCGAAAGCGAGGUCCUGGACGCCAUCUGACGCUGAGACGCGAAAGCCAGGGGAGCGAACGGG